UCCCCGCUGGUGUAACUGGCAACACGUCCGCCUCUGGAGCGGAAGAGUCGAGGAUCGAAGCCUCGGUGGGGAGC
rnacentral:tRNA from 2 species